GACGAACGCUGGCGGCGUGCCUAAUACAUGCAAGUAGAACGCUGAAGGAGGAGCUUGCUUCUCUGGAUGAGUUGCGAACGGGUGAGUAACGCGUAGGUAACCUGCCUGGUAGCGGGGGAUAACUAUUGGAAACGAUAGCUAAUACCGCAUAAUAGUAGAUGUCGCAUGACAUUUGCUUAAAAGGUGCAAUUGCAUCACUACCAGAUGGACCUGCGUUGUAUUAGCUAGUUGGUGAGGUAACGGCUCACCAAGGCAACGAUACAUAGCCGACCUGGGAGGGUGGUCGGCCACACGGGGAAUGAGAAACGGCCCAGACUCCUUCGGGAGGCCGCAGUAGGGGAUCUUCGGCAAUGGGCGGAAGGCUGACCGAGCAACGCCGCGUGGGUGGAGAAGGUUUUCGGGUCGUAAAGCUCUGUUGUAAGGGAAGAACGAGUGUGAGGGUGGAAAGUUCACACUGUGACGGUAUCUUACCAGAAAGGGACGGCUAACUACGUG
rnacentral:rRNA from 1 species